CCCUGGCUCAGAACGAACGCUGGCGGCAGGCUUAACACAUGCAAGUCGAGCGCCUCGCAAGAGGAGCGGCAGACGGGUGAGUAACGCGUGGGAAUCUACCCAUCUCUACGGAAUAACGCAUGGAAACGUGUGCUAAUACCGUAUACGCCCUUUGGGGGAAAGAUUUAUCGGAGAUGGAUGAGCCCGCGUUGGAUUAGCUAGUUGGUGGGGUAAAGGCCUACCAAGGCGACGAUCCAUAGCUGGUCUGAGAGGAUGAUCAGCCACAUUGGGACUGAGACACGGCCCAAACUCCUACGGGAGGCAGCAGUGGGGAAUAUUGGACAAUGGGCGCAAGCCUGAUCCAGCCAUGCCGCGUGAGUGAUGAAGGCCUUAGGGUUGUAAAGCUCUUUCACCGGAGAAGAUAAUGACGGUAUCCGGAGAAGAAGCCCCGGCUACU
rnacentral:rRNA from 1 species